AUUGAACGCUGGCGGCAGGCCUAACACAUGCAAGUCGAACGAGUGGCGGACGGGUGAGUAAUGUCUGGGAAACUGCCUGAUGGAGGGGGAUAACUACUGGAAACGGUAGCUAAUACCGCAUACCAUCAGAUGUGCCCAGAUGGGAUUAGCUGGUUGGGGGGGUAACGGCUCACCAAGGUGACGAUCCCUAGCUGGUUUGAGAGGAUGACCAGCAACACGGGAACGGAGAAACGGCCCAGACUCCUACGGGAGCAAGAAGUGGGGAAUAUUGCACAAUGGGCGCAAGCCUGAUGCAGCCAUGCCGGGGGUAGGAAGAAGGCCUUCGGGUUGUAAAGUACUUUCAGCGGGGAGGCGUUACCCGCAGAAGAAGCACCGGCUAACUCCGUGCCAGCAGCCGCGGUAAUUC
rnacentral:rRNA from 1 species